UACCUGCCUGUAGCUUAGGACUUGAAGCAAGGAUAUUAAUGUUUUAUUUGAUUUAACUAGGUAAGUGAGUUAAGAACAAAUUCUUAUUUACAAUGACAGCCUACCAAAAGGCCUCCUGGGGCCUGUUGCACAAAAGUAGAAUUAAGACAUCCGGGAUAAAUGACUCAGCUGAGCUCAAUGAAGCCAAAACAUGUGCGUCCAGGCUUAAUUGGUUGCACAAAGACCAAGCCAGGAUGAGCAGACACGGAUUCAUUAAGCCAGGUGAAACCAAUCCUGGAUAGGUGCGCUCACGGCUCACUCAAAUAGACCCCGCCACAGAUCACAGAUUAACUGAUUUACCAUGGCAACUAGAGCCGCGUACUUUUCCCCGUCGGAAGCACAAAUCCUCAUGGAGGCAUACGAGGAGGUAAAAGAUAUAAUUAAGAAGAAAGGCAACACCGCCACAGUGAUAAAGCAAAGAGAAAAAGCGUGGCAAAGUAUUGCAGACCGCCUGAAUGCGUAAGUAGUGCACAAUUACACACUCACCGCUCCGCUGAAACAUCACAAUUACAAUUCAAAUAUUUAAUUCACAUCUCCAAAAAUGCAGUUGUACUGUAAUUAUGAAACUGUUAAAUUUUUAAUUGAAAUGCACUGCAGAUAUGAGUGAAAUUGUGUAAAGUAACUCCAUCACACUGUAUAAAGCUAUGAUAAAUUUUUUGAUAUUUUUACUGAAAACAAGACAAAAAUACCAAGUAAUUUUUUGCAGUGUGACUCCAUUAAAUGUGUGUGUGUGUGUGUAGAUUAAACAUGAACGGGCCAAAACGGACAUGGCAGCAGGUCAAAAUCAAAUACAAGAACAUUCUGCAGAAUGCAGUGAAAAAGAAUACCCACAGACAAGGCACGGGUGGUGGGUCACCAAAGGCUGACCUUACCCCAGCAGAGGACAUGGCCUUGGAGCUAAAUAAAGGCAGGCCCGUCUUAGAGGGGAUCCCUGGGGGGAAAGAGACGAGCAUAGGUUCCUCCCAAGAUGCCACCCGCUUCAUUCAAGUGCCUGGCAGCACUGUGUUCCUGUUAGAGCCACCAGCACAAGCACCAGACGAUGCUGAUCCAGGUGAAGGCCCCAGUGCAGCAGCAACAGCACAUGAUGGAGACGAUGAUGAGGAGGAGACCAUCUCUCUGGAUUCCAGAAGGCAUGAGGUAUCAUGUUAAGACUGUGAAAGUACUAUUUACUCUACAAUGGUGAGGAGUCCUCAUCAAAAUCAAAAAAUCUAAUUUCUUUUACAGGACCCAGAUGCUAUACAGUGGGAAAACCAGCCUGGCAACAUAGUGCGUAUUAAUAAAAGGACACCACAUCCUGCCAAAUUCCAGCUGCGCUAAUUGUAUUGUGUUCACAGAGCUCACAAGCUAUCAGAAAGUUGUAUGGCAACCACCUCCGGCGCCAAAUAGAACUGGCAGACAUAGACAUUCAGUACAAGAAGAAAAAGAUGGAAAAUCUUGCACUGGAGUCCGAAAUAAAAGAGGACAAUUAGGAAACUGGACCUUGAAAUAAAAAAACUUGAGAGGGAGCUCCAAGAAGAUGACACAGCUCAAAAUAAAAAUUAGCAAUCAGUACAACCAAGUCAUCGUUAUAAGGCAUCGCCCUCUUUUGCCCACCCCCCCAGCACCAGGUGUGGCCACUAGCCUAUAUGAAGGCCCAAAAUUGUGUGUUCCUUUCUGCUCUGACAAUGGCAUGCCCAUUCGUGCGAGAUGUGGUGGAUGAAGAAGCACUUGUGCUGAGGAGAGCCUUCAGGCGAGAAAGGGUCUUCAGGGACCGGUUGGACCCACUGGCCUUCCCUGAUGACCAUCUAUAUGAAAGAUACAGGUUUUCUGCAGAUGGCAUCAGGUAUCUAUGCAGACUACUGGGUCCCAGGAUUAAGCGCCGCACUGCACGGAGCCAUGCACUGAGUGUGGAGCAAAUGGUUUGUGUGGCCUUGCGCUUUUUUGCUAGUGGAGCCUUCCUGUACUCAGUGGGGAUGCAGAACAGCUGAACAAGGCCACAAUUUGCCGCACAAUAAGGAGUGUGUGUCUGGCUAUCAAAGCGUUAGCAGAUGUCUUCAUCUCCUUCCCUGGCCACAGAAGACUCUGUGACAUCAAAGAGGAGUUCUAUAGGAUUGCAGAUGGUCUGCAAUGCUGACUGUGUGAUCAGCAAUGUUGUGGCAAAAUGGCCUGGCUCAGUCCAUGACUCCAGAAUCUUUCGGGCCUCUGAAAUCUAUCAGUGCCUAUCACAAGGUGAAUUCUCUGGUGUGUUGCUGGGAGACAGGGGGUAUGGCUGCCAGCCUUUUCUCCUGACACCUUUCACAGACCCCCAGGAAGCACAGCAGGCCUACAACCAUGCCCAUGCCAGGACCAGGGCCAGAGCUGAAAUGACCUUUGGCCUCCUGAAGGCACGCUUUCACUGCCUUCACAAAUUAAGGGUCAGCCCUGUUAGGGCAUGUGUGUGCUUUCACAUAUUUAGAGUUUUUACUCAGUUCAAGUUUAAAAGUUAAAAUUUAAUAUUUGUUUUCACUGCAUGUUACUUCUCCUUAAACAAAGUGUUGUUUUUGAUUAAUAGAUUUUUGCACUUUAUUUUUUUGUAUUUCAAUCCAAUUAUAUUUUAAAAAUAUUUCAGUUGAGUGGAUGAUAGAAAAUUGCUAUUAUUGUUUUUUCUUUGAAGUAAAUUUAGCCCACUUUUGCUAAAAUAGAAAAUAUAGUCUACUGAUGGUGCCUUGAAUACCGGUUUCUUUCAUUUAAUGUUCAUGUUAUGGGGAUAUUUAUAUAAAGGAAAUUUGUCUUUUGUGUCUGUUGAAAAUUAAAGAUUACUGACAGAGCCAUAAGAAAAUAUUGCUUUAUUUAUCUGAUCAUAUUGUAAUAUAUUUGUUAGGUUUUCAGUAGGUUCAAUUAGGUUCACUAGACUAUAUGCGUCAUUUAAAAAUUUUUCAAUGAACAUUCGAACAGUCCGGCCCUCGUCUUGUAGCUGAUUUUUUUAUUUGGCCCUCCGUCCAUUUGACUUUGACACCCCUGGUCUAAACCAUCUGACCCAGAUGUUUUUUGCGU